rnacentral:rRNA from 1 species
UACGUAGGGAGCAAGCGUUGUCCGGAAUCAUUGGGCGUAAAGCGCGCGUAGGCGGCCCCGUAAGUCCGCUGUGAAAGUCAAAGGCUCAACCUUUGAAAGCCGGUGGAUACUGUGGGACUAGAGUACGGAAGAGGCGAGUGGAAUUCCUGGUGUAGCGGUGGAAUGCGCAGAUAUCAGGAGGAACACCAAUAGCGAAGGCAGCUCGCUGGGACGUUACUGACACUGAGGCGCGAAAGCGUGGGGAGCGAACAGG